GUAAUGCUUCUUCCCUAUUGUCUUGCAUAAUUUUAUUUACAGUAUCUACUGCCUGUUUAAAUUUCAUAGCUCAAUGAUAAAAUUCAGUAUACAGUGACAGGCAGCAUUUGAGGCCAUGCUGCUGAGUUCUGCAUUUCUCAUAAUACCUCAUCAUUUGCUCUAAAGAGCACAUGAGAGAAAAGACAGUCAAUCACUAUCUAACAUCUGAUAAAAGAGAAACAUUACAUACUAAGGAUCUGAAACUUACAGAAGCUGAAAGUAGAAGACACAAUGAAGAGACCAAAGAACAGAGCAAUGCCUCUCUUUGGAUAAAUGUGCAAGGGUCUUUGCUUUCAGCCAAAAUACUGUGCCAGAAAGUUAUAAAUUCUGGAAAGGAAAUUAAGAAACUCAUCUCCUAUGGAAGCAGUGGAAGGUACAGCAAGUUAUGUUCAGCCAAUAAGGGAUUGUGUUGCAUACUACCCUACCUGUCUCCAUUUAUUUCACCAGUCUAA
rnacentral:lncRNA from 1 species